rnacentral:tRNA from 1 species
GCGCAUGUGGCGUAAUUGGUAGCCGCGUUAGACUUAGGAUCUAAUGUCUCAGGACGUGGGGGUUCGAGUCCCUUCAUGCGCAC